rnacentral:misc_RNA from 1 species
AACGCAUAUUGCGCUCUUUGGUAUUCCGAGGAGCAUGCUUGUUUGAGUAUCAGUAAACACCUCAGAUCAACAAGGUUUUUUUUUAUCUUGUGGAUUUGGAUUUGAGCGAUCCUAACAACGAAAAAAAGAUUUUAUCUUUUCUAUUGGCAGGCCGCUUGAAAUUCAGGUGCAGCUGAAUAGUCUUCUGAGCUAAAGGCAUAUUUAUUUAGUCCUUGCUUUUUUAUCAAAGCUGGAUUAUUACUUUGCUGCAGCUUACAUAAAGGUUGACUUGUUCUAGCGCUGACUGAUGCAGGAAUUAACGGUUUGGAAAGGGUGCCCGCAAGCUCCAAGAAAAACUGUCAAUCUCGAUCUCAAAUCAAGUAAGACUACCCGCUGAACUUAA